rnacentral:misc_RNA from 1 species
GGGAGAAGUAAUUGUAAAUCGUAAUUAAAAAGAAAAAUAAAUAAAAAUAGAAAAAGCAAAUGCUCAACUCGAGCUGCUAUCAAACAGCUACGACGGUGGUUAUCGGAAGGAAUUCCGGCAUUUCUAAUCUAAUCUCAGGGGUUGCCGCCGUCGCCGCCGCUCACAGAAGACGACGGCGAGGGAGGGAGGUAGCUACGGCGGCAAGUCGGACAAGAAGAAUGCAAAAUCAACCACGUUUGAAUACACUGAACAUGAAAUCCGUGCUUACAAAUUGCCAAUACUCGAAUCUCUUCCCCUUCCGAGAACUCUGUCAAGCAAAUCGUACACUCUGCCUCCACACCGGCGAGUUUCGGUUUCAUUUCCUCCGAGAACACCAGCGCCGGAGCCAUCUUCAAUUUGUCCACUAGCGUCGGCUUCGUCUCGUCCGGAAGUUCCUCCUGCCGGCUAUCACUCGGAUCGUCAUCGGCACUGC